AGUGGUGACUGCAACCUAGCUCGCUCUAAACAUUCGCCAUUUUGCCGUUGUUAGUCACUUCGAAAUAUAUCUCUAAGGUGAUUUUACACGGGUGGUAUUUUACGAAAAUUUGUGGCCGCAGUAGUACUGCCGGCAACAAUGGUAGAAUGUGCCAGAAAUUCAUGUAAAUACAGUGGCAUGCCUGAGCAACAUAGCUAAAGGAAAUUCUAUUGCAUACUUCCUGACGCAUUGUCUUAAGUGGGGUCAGUAUUGUGGCCUAAAGGUGGUGCCUAUUUGAUAUGUGAGGACCGUGAUAUUGAUUUGCGAGAAGAAUGGUUGAUGAAUCCAAUUACACCCUGGAACAACGAAUUGUCAUGAGUACCUGGGUUUGUGAACUAUCUCACACUGUGAAAACACAGAGAGAUUCAAAAUGAUUUCACCGUUAGAUGUAAUAUGGCAGCACCACCGAAACCAACAAUAUUACGUCGCGAGAAGACGCUGUUUGAAACUGGUUUCAUAAAAGGGAGACCACGUUCUAGAAGACUGAGAAGAAGAGCAGACGUGCGGAUAUUGCAGCAUCAGUGGAACGUUCACCGAAAAAGCUGCUACAAAAGCGAUCCCAGGAACAUUCACUGAAAAAGACUCUACACAAGCGAUCACAGGAAAUGAACAUCCCAUUAACGACUUUACGAUGACAUAUGCAAAGUGAUUUAAACUUAAAACCAUUCAGACCCUCAUUUGGGAAUGAAUUGAAUGAUGAAGAGAAUCAACAUGAUCCCUGUGAUUUUUAAGACGCUCCUCGAGAAAAAAAUUGACUAAUAAAAAUUACAAACUUUUUACUGGCAUAAAGUAUCUGCCUGAAACGUUAGCAUUAUACCAGUUAACAAAAAGGAAUAAGAAACACUAAAAUAUACCCAAACAGUACCAAGCGGCCACCGCGUCAUUCUUAGCCCACAAGCACACUGGAUGCGGAUAUAGAGGCGCAUAUAGUCAGCACACCACUCUCCCAGAUGAAUGUCAGUUUAAGAGACUGGAGCCACUACCUCUCAAUCAAGUAGCUCCUCAGUUUGCCUCACAGUGGCCGAGUGCACCACAACUGCCAACAGCAUUUGGCAGACCGAAUUGUCACACAUCCAAGUGAUAACCCAGCCUGACAGCGCUUAAUUUUGGGAUCUGACGGGAACCAGAGUUUCCACUGCGGCAAGGCUGUUGGCAAACAAAAAGAAAUGGUUUACAUUAAUUUUUAUCUUCAUUACCUUUUAGCCUGUCAUCUGGGGUAUCACAAUUUUUAAUCAUCACUAUCAUCCUAGUAAAACAGUUGUUUUUGCCGAAUACAUAUCGGAUUUUGCUUCUAUACUGACUUGAGACUAUUAAAAUCUUUCUUGCUUCCAAACAUAUCGUCUGCUGGCCUCUCUCAUUGGCUGCAUAGAAUCAGCAGCUGACACACUCCACAUGUUAAGUAUGGUACUGGCCCCUAUCUACACUUUUACCAUCUCCUGCAGAAAUGUGUACUAUUUCAUUUUAUUAUCUUCCUGUAAUUCAUUUACAUGAUGUAAGAACUGUCACAAGUGUAAAUAACUUGCAAGGUACACAUAAUAUGAACAUAAUAAUACAAUAUCACUUAUACAGCUAUUUUCAAUAAAUUUUUGAGAGUACAUUUGUCAUGAACAUGUACAUAAAUGUUAAGACAAUAAUUUUACACACAUUCAAAGUACUCAUCUAUGCCAGCUUAAGUUCUGAUCAUUGUGCAUGCCCAGAAACUUUGCAGAUUGCACUCACUCUAUCUCUUCAUCACUCAGUUUUAAUUGGAGGUUAUUUCCUUGGGUUGCUUUGCCAUACUGUAUAUAACUUGUUUGACUUAAAACACUUGACUUGUUUGCAUUAAACCACUGUUGUAUAUAUUUCAGGACUUUGUUGUGGUGGAUAGUGAUUUUUUAUCAUCACUUUUAAUUAUGCUCGCGUCAUCUGUGAACAAUGUAAUUUUGAUAGCAAUAUUUGGAUUCUUUAUGUCAUUUAUAUAAAAGAAUAAUAAGGGACCAAGAAGACUGCCCUGCAGAACGCCUAUUUCCACUUUUUUUUUUGCAUCUGAAACCCACUUGACUUUGGGGUUAUUGUGAUCUGAGAUGAUUUCUACAAACCGAGUUCUGUUUGCAGAUAAGAUUCAAACUGUUUCCAAACAGCUCCUCUUACUCCUACUGCCUCUAUCUUGUUAAACAAAAUUUGGUGAUUUACUGCAUUAACAGAUUUGACAGAUCUAAGUUAAUUCCCACUACACAUUUUUUAUUGUCAAGAUUCCUGACAAUCUCUUCAGUAUAGGCACAGAUGGCUGAUUCUGUGCUAUGGCCUGAACGGAAGCCAUUCAGUAGUUUGUUUGCAUCUAAGUAAUUUAUGAGCCUAAUAUUCAUUGAUGUCUCUAAGAUUUUGGAAAAUGACUGGAGAAGGGAAAUUGGUCAGUAAUUUUCUACCUUAUAUGGUUCUCUUUUUUAAACACAGAUCUAACCUCUGAGAUUUUUAACCUCUGUGGAAACAUCCCUUCGUUGAAUGACAAACUGGCAAUAUGCACUAGAGACUUCAUAAUUUUUUGGACAACUUUUUUAAUUAGUGGCAGAGGCACUUCAUCAACACCUGCAGACAUUUUUGGUUUUAGACUCUUUUAUCACAUUUAAUAUUUAAUUUAUUUUCGCGUAUAUGUCCAAUUUUAAAGUCAAUUCAAAUGGAUUCGGGCAAAUUUUAGUUUAAACGUGGUAUAUAUUUAUGAAAGCCAAAGUACGUGGUAUACUUCCCUUAAUUGGCACCACGACGAAAAUUGCUAUCCACCACCACUACCUAUUCCCACACUCACCUCAGCUGGUAUCAUUUUACCCCUCCAAGUCCAUAGGAGCCAACAUUUUCAAAUGGGGUAUAUUCACCAUGUUACACCUUAAACUCACAAUUCCUCCCUACAUGAUCAUAGUAAAUGUAAAUGCUGCAAAAGUAACUUGAAAUAGACGAUUACUCACCUCAAUAGUGAGAGACUGGAACAUGCUCCUCCUGACAAUUGCUUUGCCUGCUGAUGAAUUCGUCGAUUAGAUGUUACAGGUUCAGUAUCGUUGCAAUAUAGGAAUGGAUGUUCAAUAACGUUACAAGAUUAAACCUAUUCUUCUUCAUGGUGAAGUUUCGAGUCUACGGAGUGCGAGAAACAAUGCAGUACAUGUGGAUAAAGAUUUUCCCUGAGCCCUGUACAAAGGGUAUUAGGAGAGUUUUGCAAUAAGACACAAGAAUAAGUCACAGGAGACUGAUUGUUGCUGUAUUCUGAAAAUACUUCAUACUUACAUUGUAGCUGCUGUGGCAAGUCUGUGGGCACAAAGUGAGACUCAAGCAGUUUUGCAGUACAACUUUGCAUAUGGUUUAAAUGUAGACCAGUGCUUUGAAGAAAUGACUCUUUCACUAAGAGAUGUGUGUCCACAUCGCACAACUAUAUUCAGAUGGUUCAGAGAAUUCAAAAGAGGAUGCUGAGAGGACAGGAAGGCCAAAAUCAUCAGUUACGGAGAAAAACAUUGAUGCUGUGAGGAAAAAACUAGACGAAGAGAUGUGAGUGACCUACAGGCAGAUAAGGCUAAAUGCACCAGCAAUUCAUUCGAUUCUACAUAAUUUGCAUGAACUUAGCUGUCUCUAGGUGCCACAUGGAUUGAUGAAGAGCAGAUGACACAAUGUGUGACAUGGUGCUGGGAGAUAUUAAAGAAGUUUUCUAAGGGACAAUCUCUCAGAAUGUGAAUAACAUCGUGAUAGGUGAUGAGACUUGGCCUUUCUUUUAUGACAUGCCAUCUAAGACUCAAAACAAAGUUUGGGUCUUUGAAGAUGACAUACCCAUAGCCAUCAGAAAAUCCUGAUCAGUAAAGACAAAAAGAUAGUUAUUUUUUUCAAAUCAAGUGGAAUUGUGGAGCCUGUUGUUUUGGACACACAGAAGAUAGUCACAGCUAAGUGGUACACUGGGCAGUGCCUGCCCAAAGUCAUCCAAUCUUUGAAGGACCUGCGACUGAAGUAGAAAAUGGAUGCUUGGUUCCUCCAUCAAGAUAACACUCCAGUCUGCUGCGCCAAAGCAUGCACCGAAUAUUUACAGGGUUCAGGACUGAAAUUUCUUGAGCACCCUCCUUACCGUCCAAACCUUGCCACUUAUGUCUUUGUACUGUUCCUGCAUGUGAAAAUGAAACUGAAAGGAAUGCAGUUUUCAAGUGAUGAGGAUCUCCUGAGGGCUUGGGCAAUUUAUCUGUGUUUCCUCUCGGUUUCUGGCCACCACCCUUCCAUGUUCAAAUUGUGGCCUAGUUGGCAAUCUAGUUCAGUAGUAUUAAAGCAACAGAUCAAUGUAUGAUGUUAAGUUUUAGUAAUGAACAGCGAAAAUGUAGCAGGCUGUACACAUUUUUUUCUUUUCACCAUUUUGAGUUUUGUGAAGGUUUGAAAUUAUGUGUAACAACGUUUGGAAGUCUGAAAUAUUGGAUGAUGAAGUAUGGGUAAUUUGUGCGCCACAUGUUAUGCUUCCUUAUGACAAAUGAUACAAUUUCUGACAGUAAUACUUGUAUUAAAUCUUUAACAUAAAAUUAUACCUCUUAGAGUGUAGAUUAUAACAGUAUUAUUUAUUUUAAAAUUCUGUCAUUAAUUAAAUGAAGCAAUGAAAGUCAAA